CCACUUUGAAACCUCAGUUCCCAUACGAUCAUCGAAGUUAAGCAACGUUGAGACGGGUCAGUGCUUAAAUGGGUGAUCGCUUAGGAAUACAAGAUGCUGUAA